rnacentral:lncRNA from 1 species
CUCUCUCUCUCUCUCUCUCUCUCUCUCUCUCUCUCUCUCUCUCUCUCUCUCUCUCUCUCUCUCUCUCUCUCUCUCUCGCUCUCUCGCUCUCUCGCUCUCUCUCUCUCUCUCUCUCUCUCUCUCUCUCUCGCUCUCUCGCUCUCGCUCUCGCUCUCUCUCUCUCUCUCUCAUCCUGUCCAGCGGCACAAAGACGACGUUUCUCUGUCAGAAGAAUAAAGUUUUAUUGGUAUAUUUUUUAUGGUUCUCCCUGAUCUGGCGUCUGAUUCCAGCGUAGCUGACGCUCUUCGUGCCGUGUUUGUCGCCUUGGACGCCCAUUCCCUGUAUCAAACCCUUCUUGCCGAGAAGCGGUCGUUUCCGUUUCUACAAAUGUAAAAUAAGUGAAAUGUGUAACAUUAUUUUUGAUGCUGACAGCGACGUAACAUCUGGGACUGAGCGGGACUUUAGCGGUUUUUAUCUUGUUUUACAUUUAGCUAGAAAUCUUCACACGCCUGACACUUCAGCAGUCCGCCGGUGCAUAUAGAAGUUAUAGAAACACUAAAUGGAUAGCUCCUGAACUCAUGCGGCGCCACCUGAAGGUUUUAACGUGGCACACAGAGAUUUGCACCCUCAACUGGUUGCUGAUGCUCUCUUGUCACGUUUAGAUUAAUUCAGCCAUUUGAUCUAUGUUAAAAUAAAAUUAAACAUUGGCGCAAUAUUUUUAUUCUGCUUAUCAUAGGCUGGGUUGCAAAAGAAACUGGUCCAGGAGGGAAGUCCAGAUAUCCCUCACAAGCGACCUUUUCCAGGUCUUCCUGAGGGAUCCCAACUGUUUCCAGGCCAUCAUAGAAUACAAAUAAGCUGCCCUAGGAGGUCUCCAGAGGGGAGAUCAUCCAAAAGAAGGUAUCUUCAUCAGAAACAUGAUUGAACCACCUCAGCUCAUUCUUUUAAAUGCAGAGGAGCAACAGUUCUACACCGAGCUCCUUAAGAUUCAUUCUGUGCAAAGGAUCAAUUUGUUCUAAUUCAUUUAUGAAAAUUACCAAUAAGUGCACAGUUUAACAAAUAAAACAAAUUUCAAACACCAACAAUGUGAUACUCA